rnacentral:ncRNA from 1 species
ACCGGCAAGCUUACGAUGGACCGGGAGAGUCGGAUACUUUGAGAGUAGUGUCUUAAGGGGGUGGUAUGUCCCAUCCAAGGCUAAAUAACGUGAGGAGACCGAUAGAUUACAAGUAGUGUGAACGAAAGAUGAAAAGAACUCUAAAACAGAGGGUGAAAAGUUCCUGAACUUGCUUAGGGUUAAGGCUAUUUAUAGUACCCGUCUUGAAACACGGAUUAGGGAGUUUAUCUGUAGUGCGAGUCUUUGCACGUUAACUGUAAAGGCGUAGAGAAAGCAACUGGCGUUUGCAUGGCUACUGAGCAUUACUGAUAGGACCCGAAAGGUGGUGAACUUUGCCUGCACAGGUUGAAGUCAGGGGAAACUCUGAUGGAGGACCGUACGGGUUAUUGAUGUGCAAAUCAUUUUUCUGAUGUAGGUAAAGGUGCGAAAGACUCAUCGAACCACCUAAUAGCUGGUUUCCUCCGAAGUUUCCCUCAGGAUAGCUGUAAUGCAUUUAGUUAAGGGGAGUAGAGAUAUGGGUAGAGGUGCAGGGAGCCUUCGGGUUCUCAACUUAUUUCCAAACUUCGAACCUCCUUGUUAGGCAUUUACCUAACUGGAAAUGCUUAAAUGAAUUAGCGUUACAAGUGGGCUCUGACCGGUAAGCGGUCAUGGCGAAAUGGGAUGAACCAUACGUCUGAAUAAGGUGCCGAAAUGUACUAUCACUGAUACCAUAAAGGGAGUCCAUGUAUUUAGACAGCAGGUCGGUGCCCCUAAAAGCAGGUAUCCGCUAAAGAGUGUGUUAAAACUCACCUGCCGAAUACUAGGGCCCCGAAAAUGAAUGGCGCAUAUAGUACUACCGAUCUCAGACAUCAGUUCUAUUGAACUGAGAGUAGGGGGAUGUGGACAUUUUUGUGAAGGUGCAAUGUGAGUUGGACUGGAAGAAUGUCUAUUACAGAUCCUAAUUGAAGUAGCGAUUAUCCAGGCUUGUAUCCUGGGGGCUGAUGAGGAGUAGGGUUUCUGGACAACUUAAACAGAUCCAGAGUUAGUCGAUCCUAAUCUCAAUAAUGGGAGAAAGGGAGUACAGUUGAUAUUCUGUAACUGACAACAGUUCGCGGCAACGCAUACUAUUUUUCUCCGCCAAUCUUAUACCGUUGGUAGGGAUCUCUUCCUACAUG